rnacentral:lncRNA from 1 species
AUUACCUAUAUAUUAAUGACUCAUCCUUUUUAUUGAAAACAUUGAAAUCUUUUAGAAAUCACUUUAUAAAAGUGAUUUUAACUUUUUUUUUUUUUUACCGUAGUCAUAGAUCCCUGCUUUGUUAAGAAAAGAGAUUAAAUGAUUCAGGUUUAGAGAAACAAAUUACUGUGCUAAUCUUCAGGUGUUUCUCUUCUUGAUGUGGCCACUCCUGUCUGAUCAUAGCAGCAUAGGCCCCAUCAUAGUUGUGUUUUCAUUAGUGCUCCACUGACUUAUUUGUCAGAGAUUUGAAAUCUGCUGUAAAAAACCACUACCCUUCUGCAGUUUCAGAAACAGACUGGCUCGUCUAAAAUAAUUCAUAGGAGUGGCCCCAUGGAAAGCUGGGUGACUCGAGCGUGCAGAAGGCCUUCAUGUGCAAUACAGGAGCUUGGGAAGCGUUUACAGACCUAUUUUCAGGAUUCCUAGAAUUAAGAUUCAGGUUUCUCUAUGACACGGACUAUUGAAAAUCCCAGAGCAAGGACUGGUGGAUCUGUCCCACAGUGGUAAAGUGUUUGGUUUGACCAGAAAGUCCUUUAAAAAAUUGGGAAGUAUUAGUUAAACGCCAAGUUUCCAGCUUCCUUCGAUAAAUGAAAGGAUCUGCCAACACCGGGUUCUCUUCCUUUCGUGGCACUAAUCAGCCUGUUCUGGGUAGAAGCUGCCUGUUUAGAAAAGGCAAGUGCCCUUCACUGGCUGCACUCUAAGGCUGACCUAGCCUGCUUCGCUCGCAUAGUGAUACAUUUCCUGCUUGAUCUCUAUGGGAAUUUGAUUUUUUUGACUCCUGUCAAAGGACGAAAGCAUUGCUGGUGCUUCCUUCUGCCCAGGUUUUUUGAAUCUCCAAGGUUUCAAAGCAUGGAUAACUGAAGAUUCAUUAACUUAAGCACUAAUGAGUUUCUAAAUAAAGGCCACUCCACACAGAAAAGCUCCACUGAUGUAGAGAAGACCUCAUUACAGACAAACAAGAUGAUGAGAAUUAAGCAUCCCUAUGGACAAAGCCAAUUAGUAAGUUAUACUUACUUAUUAUUCCAAAGAUUAUGAAGAGUAACAACUGUAGUGUACAGUUAUACAAAUUAUAUUCAAAAAGUUUUUUGAAGUAGCAUUUC